GGGUUGUGAGGUUAAGCGACUAAGCGUACACGGUGGAUGCCCUGGCAGUCAGAGGCGAUGAAGGGCGUGCUAAUCUGCGAUAAGCGCCGGUAAGGUGAUAUGAACCGUUAUAACCGGCGAUACCCGAAUGGGGAAACCCAGUGUGACUCGUCACACUAUCAUUAACUGAAUCCAUAGGUUAAUGAGGCGAACCGGGGGAACUGAAACAUCUAAGUACCCCGAGGAAAAGAAAUCAACCGAGAUUCCCCCAGUAGCGGCGAGCGAACGGGGAGGAGCCCAGAGCCUGAAUCAGCAUGUGUGUUAGUGGAAGCGUCUGGAAAGGCGCGCGAUACAGGGUGACAGCCCCGUACACAAAAGCGCAUGUGCUGUGAGCUCGAUGAGUAGGGCGGGACACGUGGUAUCCUGUCUGAAUAUGGGGGGACCAUCCUCCAAGGCUAAAUACUCCUGACUGACCGAUAGUGAACCAGUACCGUGAGGGAAAGGCGAAAAGAACCCCGGCGAGGGGAGUGAAAAAGAACCUGAAACCGUGUACGUACAAGCAGUGGGAGCCCCACCACCAAAGCAUUCUCUGGUGUUGAAGGCCCUGCAAAGCAGCAUCGCGGUGGCGGAGCGUCGUUUGCGACGCCCAACACACAAAACAAGCGGUGAAUGCUUUGGGGUGGGGUGACUGCGUACCUUUUGUAUAAUGGGUCAGCGACUUAUAUUCUGUAGCAAGGUUAACCGAAUAGGGGAGCCGGAGGGAAACCGAGUCUUAAUUGGGCGUUAAGUUGCAGGGUAUAGACCCGAAACCCGGUGAUCUAGCCAUGGGCAGGUUGAAGGUUGGGUAACACUAACUGGAGGACCGAACCGACUAAUGUUGAAAAAUUAGCGGAUGACCUGUGGCUGGGGGUGAAAGGCCAAUCAAACCGGGAGAUAGCUGGUUCUCCCCGAAAGCUAUUUAGGUAGCGCCUCGUGAAUUCAUCUCCGGGGGUAGAGCACUGUUUCGGCUAGGGGGCCAUCCCGGCUUACCAACCCGAUGCAAACUGCGAAUACCGGAGAAUGUUAUCACGGGAGACACACGGCGGGUGCUAACGUCCGUCGUGAAGAGGGAAACAACCCAGACCGCCAGCUAAGGUCCCAAAGUCAUGGUUAAGUGGGAAACGAUGUGGGAAGGCCCAGACAGCCAGGAUGUUGGCUUAGAAGCAGCCAUCAUUUAAAGAAAGCGUAAUAGCUCACUGGUCGAGUCGGCCUGCGCGGAAGAUGUAACGGGGCUAAACCAUGCACCGAAGCUGCGGCAGCGAACGUAUCACCCAAGACAACUUUACGGAGUUGACGAUUGACGGAGCGAAGCGACGUCAAAGCGUUCAUUAAAGUCGAGUUGGCUUAGGGAUACGUUCGUUGGGUAGGGGAGCGUUCUGUAAGCCUGUGAAGGUGUGUCGUGAGGCAUGCUGGAGGUAUCAGAAGUGCGAAUGCUGACAUAAGUAACGAUAAAGCGGGUGAAAAGCCCGCUCGCCGGAAGACCAAGGGUUCCUGUCCAACGUUAAUCGGGGCAGGGUGAGUCGACCCCUAAGGCGAGGCCGAAAGGCGUAGUCGAUGGGAAACGGGUUAAUAUUCCCGUACUUGGUGUUACUGCGAAGGGGGGACGGAGAAGGCUAUGUUGGCCGGGCGACGGUUGUCCCGGUUUAAGCGUGUAGGUGUGUGUUCCAGGUAAAUCCGGUU
rnacentral:rRNA from 2 species